CUGGAAAGUCCGACGAUACAGGGUGAUAGUCCCGUAGUUGACGACGUGUGUUCAGUGAAAUCGAGUAGGGCGGGACACGUGAUAUCCUGUCUGAAUAUGGGGGGACCAUCCUCCAAGGCUAAAUACUACUGACUGACCGAUAGUGAACCAGUACCGUGAGGGAAAGGCGAAAAGAACCCCUGUGAGGGGAGUGAAAUAGAACCUGAAACCGUGUACGUACAAGCAGUAGGAGCAGGCUUUGUCCUGUGACUGCGUACCUUUUGUAUAAUGGGUCAGCGACUUAUAUUCAGUGGCAAGGUUAACCAUCUAGGGGAGCCGUAGGGAAACCGAGUCUUAACUGGGCGUUCAGUCUCUGGAUAUAGACCCGAAACCAGGUGAUCUAGCCAUGGGCAGGUUGAAGGUUGAGUAACAUCAACUGGAGGACCGAACCGACUAAUGUUGAAAAAUUAGCGGAUGACUUGUGGCUAGGGGUGAAAGGCCAAUCAAACCUGGAGAUAGCUGGUUCUCCCCGAAAGCUAUUUAGGUAGCGCCUCGGACGAAUACUACUGGGGGUAGAGCACUGUUAAGGCUAGGGGGUCAUCCCGACUUACCAACCCUUUGCAAACUCCGAAUACCAGUAAGUACUAUCCGGGAGACACACGGCGGGUGCUAACGUCCGUCGUGGAGAGGGAAACAACCCAGACCGCCAGCUAAGGUCCCAAAUUACUACUAAGUGGGAAACGAUGUGGGAAGGCUCAGACAGCCAGGAUGUUGGCUUAGAAGCAGCCAUCAUUUAAAGAAAGCGUAAUAGCUCACUGGUCGAGUCGGCCUGCGCGGAAGAUGUAACGGGGCUAAGUAGUAAACCGAAGCUGCGGCAAUAUACUUUUGUAUAUUGGGUAGGGGAGCGUUCUGUAAGCGGUUGAAGGUGUGUGGUAACGCAUGCUGGACGUAUCAGAAGUGCGAAUGCUGACAUGAGUAACGAUAAAGGGGGUGAAAAACCUCCUCGCCGGAAGACCAAGGGUUCCUGUCCAACGUUAAUCGGGGCAGGGUAAGUCGACCCCUAAGGCGAGGCCGAAAGGCGUAGUCGAUGGGAAACGGGUUAAUAUUCCCGUACUUCUUACAAUUGCGAUGGGGGGACGGAGAAGGCUAGGUGGGCCUGGCGACGGUUGUCCAGGUUCAAGUGCGUAGGCUUAAGAGUUAGGUAAAUCCGGCUCUUUUUAAGGCUGAGACACGACGUCGAGCACCUACGGGUGUGAAGUCAUUGAUGCCAUGCUUCCAGGAAAAGCCUCUAAGCUUCAGAUUG
rnacentral:rRNA from 1 species